rnacentral:lncRNA from 1 species
GUUUAGCAAGGCAGAAGGAGCCCCCAAAAAGGUGGAUCCCCCAUAGUGGGGGGGGGGUCUGUGAUGCUGGGGGGGUUUUGGGGUGCCCUGACCCCCCCAUUUUCACCCAGGGGUGAAGGUGAUCCUGGACCUGACCCCAAACCCCGCCGGGAAUCCGGUGUGGGGGGACGCAGCCCAAGACUCUGAGGUGCACCAGCAGGUCCAGGCCGCCCUGAGCCAUUGGCUGAAGGAGGACAUUGCUGGGAUCUUCCUGGAUGGCAUCGAGGAGCUCCCGAACUUGGUGGUGGCCCAGUGGAGGAACCUGACGGAGCAGCAGCCGAGCCCCAGCGGUGUGGACAGGGUGCUGGUGGGGGGCACACGCCUGCAGGACCCCUGGGAGGUGCCGCGGGGCCCGGGGAUGCCGCAGCUGCUGCUGGGACCCUUCCUGCAGCCCCUGGAGCCCAAGGGCGACUCCAAGGCCCC